rnacentral:rRNA from 1 species
GCUACGGGUGGCAGCAGUGGGGAAUAUUGCACAAUGGGGGGAACCCUGAUGCAGCGACGCCGCGUGAGUGAAGAAGUAUUUCGGUAUGUAAAGCUCUAUCAGCAGGGAAGAUAAUGAUGGUACCUGACUAAGAAGCCCCGGCUAACUACGUGCCAGCAGCCGCGGUAAUACGUAGGGGGCAAGCGUUAUCCGGAUUUACGGGGUGGAAAGGGAGCGGAGACGGCAGCGAAAGUCUGGAGUGAAAUGCCGGGGCCACACCCCGGAACUGCUCUGGAAACUGUGAAGCUGGAGUGCAGGAGAGGUAAGCGGAAUUCCUGGUGUAGCGGUGAAAUGCGUAGAUAUCAGGAGGAACACCGGCGGCGAAGGCGGCUUACUGGACUGUAACUGACGUUGAGGCUCGAAGGCGUGGGGAGCAAACAGGAUUAGAUACCCCUGUAGUC